rnacentral:rRNA from 1 species
GAUGAACGCUGGCGGCAUGCCUUACACAUGCAAGUCGAACGGCAGCACGGGGCAACCUGGUGGCGAGUGGCGAACGGGUGAGUAAUGCAUCGGAACGUGCCAUUGAGUGGGGGAUAACGUAGCGAAAGUUGCGCUAAUACCGCAUAUUCUGUGAGCAGGAAAGCAGGGGGACCGCAAGGCCUUGCGCUCUUUGAGCGGCCGAUGUCAGAUUAGCUAGUUGGUGAGGUAACGGCUUACCAAGGCGACGAUCUGUAGCGGGUCUGAGAGGAUGAUCCGCCACACUGGAACUGAGACACGGUCCAGACUCCUACGGGAGGCAGCAGUGGGGAAUUUUGGACAAUGGGCGCAAGCCUGAUCCAGCCAUGCCGCGU